rnacentral:rRNA from 1 species
CGCAUCUGUGCAUGCAGCAUAUCAAUAAGCGGAGGAAAAGAAACUAACAAGGAUUCCCUUAGUAACGGCGAGUGAAGCGGGAAGAGCUCAAAUUUGAAAUCUUCAAGGUUUUACCUUGACGAAUUGUAGUUUAAAGAAGUGUUUUCUGUUGAGGUUUUGGUAAAAGUUCUUUGGAAUAGGACAUCAUAGAGGGUGAGAAUCCCGUAUUUGACCAUUAUUUUCAGCUGUGUGAUACACUUCCAAAGAGUCGGAUUGUUUGGGAAUGCAGUCCAAAAUGGGUGGUAAAUUUCAUCUAAAGCUAAAUAUUGGCGAGAGACCGAUAGCGAACAAGUACCGUGAGGGAAAGAUGAAAAGAACUUUGAAAAGAGAGUUAAACAGUACGUGAAAUUGUCAAAAGGGAAGCGUUUGACACCAGUGUUGUUUUCUCGAAAAUCAAUUAAAAAGAGUUUGAUUUUGUUGUGUAUUGACCUUAACAGCUUGCAUUUCAAUUUUCUUGCUUUUUUUAAUGCACUUUUCGUUUAACAAGUCAACAUCAGUUUCCUUUGUUGUAAAAAGGUCAUUGGAAGGUGGCUUUCUUUUCGGAGAAAGUGUUUAUAGCCUUUGACUCCUGCAAUCGGAGAGACUGAGGUCUGCAGCGUAGAUCCUUCGGGGUUAGAUACAUUUGUGCUAAGUUAUAGGCUUUUUAUAGACAACUUGUUGACUAUGAUUAGUCUUGUAGCUUACUCGCUUAUGCUAUUUUACCUACGCUUAGGAUGUUGACGCGCGUGUGUGCGUG